rnacentral:lncRNA from 1 species
UCCUAACUGCUGGGGAAUCGGUCUUUCGUGAUUUGUGUCCCUUUUCCUGGUGGAUAGGUCAGUCCUGGAGCCGCUUUUUGAGCGCAGGGCUUCAUCAGGUGCCAGGGUUGAAGACCUGUCCCUCAGAGAGGAUGGCGAGACCCGGACUGCCAAGUUCAAGAGGAAAGACUGGAGUCUGAGCAAGUCCCAGGUCAUUUCAGAGAAGGCUGCAGACCCUGACCUAACGAGCGCAGCCAAAAAGAUACAAAGGCCCAAGAGUCUUCAGCUGGUGGACAGCCGCUUAGCUCCAUUCCACAGCUCUGUGCCCCCUCAGGCCACGCCCUUGAGCCCGCCUCCGCUCACGCCCAAAGCGACCAGGACCCUGAGUAAGUUCCGAGGCCUCUUUCAUUCGUUAUCUUAAGGAAUGGAGCAUGUUUAUGAAUGUGGGUGAUUUUUAAUUAAGCCAGACAAAAAUAAUAUGGGAAGUAUACGAGCAUGAUUCAGUUCUGUGUCCACAGAUAUAGAUGGGAUUUUGGCAAGGCUCCCUGGCCUG